rnacentral:rRNA from 1 species
AUUGAACGCUGGCGGCAGGCCUAACACAUGCAAGUCGAACGAGUGGCGGACGGGUGUGUAAUGUCUGGGAAACUGCCCGAUGGAGGGGGAUAACUACUGGAAACGGUCGCUUAUACCGCAUACCCUCGGAUGUGCCCAGAUGGGAUUAGCUAGUAGGGGGGGUAACGGCUCACCUAGGCGACGAUCCCUAGCUGGUCUGAGAGGAUGACCAGCCACACGGGGACUGAGACACGGUCCAGACUCCUACGGGAGGCAGCAGUGGGGAAUAUUGCACAAUGGGAGCAAGCCUGAUGCAGCCAUGCCGCGUGUAUGAAGAAGGCCUUAGGGUUGUAAAGUACUUUCAGCGAGGAGGCGUUACUCGCAGAAGAAGCACCGGCUAACUCCGUGCCAGCAGCCGCGGUAAUUC